ensembl:lncRNA
UACAUAACUAUUUGUCUACACUUUUGGGGAUAAAGAUGAUCUGCAUAUAUUUAUGAUGCUGACCUCUUGAGCUUUCUGGGCGACAUCCGUUACAUCAUCGAGUGAGCCGUAAAGAUCGACCACUGAUCACAUCCCAUUGAUGGACAGUAAAAAUGAACGAAGACAAGUCUGCUCUGGAGCUCUAUAGAGAAUGUUUGGAUGACAACUCUGAUGAUUUUGGCGCGCAUGAAAGAUGGGACACACGAGACUGGCAGCUAGAAGUGGCUACUAGCUAACGGUGCUAACGCAGCUAACUGCUAAAGAGUCGACCGAGCUCCGCUUCAAUGACGACACUGUCGGCCACUUUCAGCUGUAACCGUAUGGCCGUAUGGGGACAUUAGGUGUAGCUGCCCCACUACAGUAGGCCGGUGGUUUGCUUUGACGUUUGCUCCAAUCCUCCGUCCAUAAAACUGCUGCGCACGCUUCCCUCCUGUUGCCACUAGGUGGCACCAGCAGACCGGUGUUUGCUAGAGGAAGGACCCCCGCGACACACACGUAGUACGCAUUGACAAUUACGUCCAUAACAAAACGACAAGAUUCCUGUAAAAAUGUACAUUUGAAGAUCUGCAAUUCAAUGACGGCUAAUCAGACUCUAUCUGCUGGUGUGAUAUAAUCAAAGGCUCCUGAUCGGCUGCUUAACGAAUGGUGGCGUAUGAGGACCUCGACACUUGGAAAUGUCUGGAACACUGGUUCGGUCACAGCUCAAGCAGGAUAUUUUUUGCGUUGAAACGCUUUACUUGUUCUUCUUUUCCUACUGCAUCAUUGGAAAUAAACGUUUGGCUGUUUUAAGUUGAAAGAUGCCCGACAGGUUAUUUGUAUUUCUUGGCACGGAGGCAUGGAGACGUGCUGUACUCUGCUAUUGCUUAGAGUUUGUUUUACUGCCCGAUAACCACCUGAUGCAGUGGGGAUUUAUUGCUUUUACAUUUACUGUUGGAUAUGUACCGCCUGAUAUUCAUAUGAUGAGUCACAUGUUCUCUUGAACUUUCUCCUUAACCGUAGUCA